rnacentral:rRNA from 1 species
GUAACGGCGAGUGAAGCGGCAACAGCUCAAAUGGGAAAUCUGGCUCCUUCGGGGUCCGCAUUGUAAUUUGCAGAGGAUGUUUCGGGAGUGGCCCCCAUCUAAGUGUCCUGGAACGGACCGUCAUAGAGGGUGAGAAUCCCGUAUGGGAUGGGGUGCCCACGCCCGUGUGAACCUCCUUCAACAAGUCGAGUUGUUUGGGAAU